GCCAGUCGUGUUGGCGCAUGCUUGUAGUCCCAGCUACUCGGGAGGCUGAGGUGAGAGGAUCGCUUGAGCCCAAGAGUUCUGGGCUGUAGUGCGCUAUGCUGAUCAGAUGUCCACACUAAAUUCAGCAUCAAUAUGGUGACCCACCCCAGGAGCGGGGACCACCAGGUUGCCUAAAGAGGUGAAGCAGCCCAGGUUGGAAAUGAAGCGCAUCAAAACUCCCAUGCUGAUCAGUAGUGGGAUUGCGCCUAUGAAUAGCCACUGCACUCCAGCCUGGGCAACAUAGUGAUACCCUGCCUCU
rnacentral:SRP_RNA from 1 species